GACUGUAGUAUGUGCAGAUUAAUCCUUAGGUCGCUGGUUCGAAUCCGGCAGGUCGGAAUUAUUUUU
rnacentral:sRNA from 1 species